CCUACGGGUGGCAGCAGUGGGGAAUAUUGGACAAUGGGCGAAAGCCUGAUCCAGCCAUGCCGCGUGUGUGAAGAAGGCCUUCGGGUUGUAAAGCACUUUCAGUGGGGAAGAAAGCCUUGGGGCUAAUACCCUCGAGGAAGGACAUCACCCACAGAAGAAGCACCGGCUAACUCCGUGCCAGCAGCCGCGGUAAUACGGAGGGUGCGAGCGUUAAUCGGAAUUACUGGGCGUAAAGCGCGCGUAGGCGGUCUGAUAAGCCGGUUGUGAAAGCCCCGGGCUCAACCUGGGAACGGCAUCCGGAACUGUCAGGCUAGAGUGCAGGAGAGGAAGGUAGAAUUCCCGGUGUAGCGGUGACAUGCGUAGAGAUCGGGAGGAAUACCAGUGGCGAAGGCGGCCUUCUGGACUGACACUGACGCUGAGGUGCGAAAGCGUGGGUAGCAAACAGGAUUAGAUACCCCGGUAGUC
rnacentral:rRNA from 1 species